GUUCAUCACAACAUACGAGUGGAGAUCGGUGUUCUCAAAUGUAACUGGAACGGGGUUAUUUCCUACGAAGACUCGUCCUUUGACUUUCCCAUUGACUCUCUGAGGAGAACCUUCUGCUACACACUGUCUGCCAUUUCCUUUGUAUCCAGCAAUACAACUGCAACAAAAUCCAUUGGGGUAAUCUUUGCAAAUAGCAUGAACAGAGCACUGGUGGCGAUUGUUAGCACAGGUCUGUUGGACGUCUGUGUGGUAGCGGAACACUAUACCAGUUUCAUCAAAUUCUUCCACAUCUAUGACCUGGGGUCCCUGUGGGGGGAACUGCUGGGCUGGGAACUGGCGAGGUGGAGCUUUUGCUGUUGGGAAUUCUCGAUGACGAUAAAAAGAUUCAGUUGAAGGUGUUCCUGUUACAUCUUGGUAUGAAGUUAUAAAGUCCUCCACAGCUAACUGAGGAACACUGUAUGUAACGUGCUGAUCCUCUUCUAUACUGUCCGUGCUACUGGUGACGUACUGUGGUCUUAUUUCAGUGGAGCCAUAGUCUGACAUGAAUGGUUUUGAAGUCAACUCCUGGUCUUCUUCACUGGGCUCUAGGCUCGCCAGAACACUGCUGACCUUGGCAGGCACAAUAGUGUCAGAUGAGCUACCAAUCUCGAACACCCAGACACCUUGUCUCCCAGCAUUGCUGCUUUUGUGCAAGUUUCUAAUGCUGUCUUCAUCAUUAGCAAUAACGUUGUAGGAUCCUGGAUUUUCCCAAAAGUAGUAGUUUGUAGAGGCCUGACUAAAGCCAACCAUUGCAGGAAUCUUUCCAUCAUCAUUCUUUGAGUACGCACUAUAGAACUGCAAACCAUCUUCUGGGUAAAGGAAAAUAGCAUAGGAACUGGAGUCAGAAGAGGCUAGAACAGCCUGGAAUGUGUUCCUCUUUUCUUCCAAAGUAAGAUCUUCUCCGGGUCCGUGGUAUGGAGCCACAAGCUUCCAGGUAACAAUAACAGCACUGCUGGGAUCAAAAGUGGCCUCAGGAAACCCGCCUUUGAUAUAGUCUGAUGCAAGUUGUAAGACAUCUGAGGAUGAAUCUUCUCUGUAAUAAACAUUUCCACGUCCAUCUGUUGUAUCCAGAUCAGCCAUAAAAGGAGCAAUAGCCCCAAAACUGACUGGGAAUUGGCCAAGAUAUUUUUCUUCAUUCUUAGGUUCAUUCACUGCAAUAAUCCCAUUUGUGGCAACGUAGAGGGAGCGGACGGCGGCCCCGUAGAAGUGCAGCGCCGUGCCCAGCUCCAGCGCCGCCGAGCGCGCGUCGUCCCCGGGCUCCAGCGCCGCAUCCCCGCGCUCGGCGCCGUGCGGCAGCAGCAGCUCUGCGGGCAGCGCCAACGGCAGCGCCAAGGCCAGCAGCGCGCAGGGCGCACAGCGCGUCCCAACGCCCAUACUGACGACUCCCGACACGGCGGCGCGGCUCCGUCGCUAUAAGUACGGGCAGGGGGCGGGCUAAGGGCGUUCCUGAG
rnacentral:lncRNA from 1 species